GAAAUGCGAUAAGUAAUGUGAAUUGCAGAAUUCAGUGAAUCAUCGAAUCUUUGAACGCACAUUGCGCCCCCUGGUAUUCCGGGGGGCAUGCCUGUUCGAGCGUCAUUUAUACCAAUCUAGCCUGGCUAGGUGUUGGGCUUCGCCGCCUGGCGGGCCUUAAAACUAGUGGCGGUGCUCUUAGGCUCUACGCGUAGUAAUUUUCUCGCUAUAGGGUCCUGGGAGAUGCUGGCCAGCAACCCCAAAUUUUUCUAGGUUGACCUCGGAUCAGGUAGGGAUACCCGCUGAACUUAA
rnacentral:misc_RNA from 1 species